GUUUGGAUGGGGAAUUACCAGUUGGAAGCACUGAAAGUGCUAGAGGAGGAGAACCUCUGCAUGGGAUCCUGCCCUGCCUUGGGUGUUGUAAUGGAACGAACGAGUGAUAGUUGUUCAAAGCCAUCAGUUCAUACAGAAGAGGUGGAGCCUGAGGAACUCGGCCCCCGACCCGUGGCCCCUCAGGGGAAGGCUCACACUGGGCCAGACAGAAGCACCUGGUCCCCUGUACUUCAUCUCAGCAGGUAAGAAGUUGUUAAACCAGUAGGGGUUAAGUUCCCUUGUUCCUGAGACUCCAUGGAACUCAGACCAGGGAAGCAUUUUCUAGAUGCUUCUGCAGAUGGGCAGCAUGCCCACAUCUAAGCUGCCUUGAUGAGGAUAGUGUCCUUUCUCCCUUUCCCACCGACAGAAUGCCCACCCCUUAGGGAGCUCCAGCACUUGGACCUGAGCCUCAGUGAGCUGGCAGAGAGAGGAAGGACAAACAGAACACACAUCCAAUGAACUAGAACUGCUGAAAGAGGCAGAUGGUAACACAAAUUUAAAAAAUAACAAGCCCUACAGAUAUUUAAAUACAGUAAAAAGGGACUGUGGAGCCAAAAAUGAUUUCCCAUCUAACAGUUCAAUUGAUGAGUUGAAGGAGAAAAUGAUCACCACUGAGAUUCAGAUAAGCAGCUUGGAAAAUCAAGGUCAGCAAAUAGCUUCAAGUACAGAACAAAAUUAUAGAGAUGGAAAUCAGGGAAAAAAUGGGUCUUGGAGGGCAGAUCUAAUGACCUAACAUAUGAAUGAAUAACAGGACUUCCAGAAGGAGAAAAGGGAAUAGAUGAAAGAAAUAAUAAAUGUCAUAGAAAAAUAUUGCCCCGAGCA
rnacentral:lncRNA from 1 species